GGGGAUAUGGUGAAGCGGUUAUCACAGCUCUCUGUGGCAGAGCGGUCACGGGUUCGAUUCCCGUUAUCCCCC
rnacentral:tRNA from 1 species